UACAGAGGUCUCAAGCGUUGUUCGGAUUCAUUGGGCGUAAAGGGUGCGUAGGCGGCGCGGUAAGUCGGGUGUGAAAUCUUGGAGCUUAACUCCGAAACUGCAUUCGAUACUGCCGUGCUUGAGGACUGGAGAGGAGACUGGAAUUUACGGUGUAGCGGUGAAAUGCGUAGAUAUCGUAAGGAAGACCAGUGGCGAAGGCGGGUCUCUGGACGAGUUC
rnacentral:rRNA from 1 species